rnacentral:lncRNA from 1 species
UGGCUGACAUCGGGUUCAACAGGGAGAGGUAUAAGCGGAAAUGCAGAACGGCAGGCAUUGCACCAAUGGGAUGCCUUGCUUAAUUAUGCUCAUCCAUGGGAAGGAUGAAGAAAGUUAGCCAAGGUUAACUGUGGAAAGGAGGAAGAUAGGUUAAUUAGCUUAAGCACUUUUACUUUAUUUUAUAUUAACUGCCUUUAAUUGUCUAAACUCUCCUUAAAUUAAAUGCGAAAGUAACCUUCAACAAAAAAAUCUUUCGAUACAGAAAAUCACACGUGACAGAACAAAAUUUUUGUUUCAAUUCUGCAGAAAUUGUGCUUGGGUAUUAAAAAAUUGUCAUCUUUUCCCUGAUUCAUUUUUCAAAUCAUCUUUUAUAAAACGUCGAUGAAAAAUAUUUUAAAUUGUGCCAGAUCCCUUCUUAUAAAUCUCUUUGCAUUGCUAUUUAAUGUUGAGCUAUAAGUUUUUUCAGCAGGCAACAUUGGGUCAGAACUGUAAUGGGUUGUUUUUGCCGGAGAAGAAGACAAUAUGGGAAC